rnacentral:misc_RNA from 1 species
UACGGAGGGUGCAAGCGUUAUCCGGAUUCACUGGGUUUAAAGGGUGCGUAGGAGGGCAGGGAAGUCAGUGGUGAAAUCUCCGGGCUUAACUCGGAAACUGCCGUUGAUACUCUCUGUCUUGAGUCCCGUGGAGGUGAGCGGAAUAUGUCAUGUAGCGGUGAAAUGCUUAGAUAUGACAUGGAACACCAAUUGCGAAGGCAGCUCACUACACGAAGAUUGACUCUGAGGCACGAAAGCGUGGGGAUCAGACAGG